rnacentral:rRNA from 1 species
UACAGAGGUCUCAAGCGUUGUUCGGAUUUAUUGGGCGUAAAGGGUGCGUAGGUGGCCAGGUAAGUUUGGUGUGAAAGCUCGGAGCUUAACUCCGAAAAGUCAUUGAAUACUAUCUGGCUGGAGGGUCGGAGGGGAGACUGGAAUUCUCGGUGUAGCAGUGAAAUGCGUAGAUAUCGAGAGGAACACCAGUGGCGAAGGCGAGUCUCUGGACGACACCUGACACUGAGGCACGAAAGCUAGGGGAGCAAACAGG